ACACUCAUGGUGAAGCGGUUAUCAUGCUUGCCUUCCAUGCUCUGUAGGUAGCAAGCGGCAGGGGUUCGACUCCCCUUGAGUGUA